rnacentral:rRNA from 1 species
AGAGUUUGAUCCUGGCUCAGGACGAACGCUGGCGGCGUGCUUAACACAUGCAAGUCGAACGAUGAAGGCCCGGCUUGCCGGGCUGGAUUAGUGGCGAACGGGUGAGUAACACGUGAGUAACCUGCCCCUGACUUCGGGAUAACCGCGAGAAAUCGUGGCUAAUACCGGAUAUGACGCUCCUCCGCAUGGUGGGGUGUGGAAAGACUGUGUCGGUUGGGGAUGGGCUCGCGGCCUAUCAGCUUGUUGGUGGGGUGAUGGCCUACCAAGGCGACGACGGGUAGCCGGCCUGAGAGGGUGACCGGCCACACUGGGACUGAGACACGGCCCAGACUCCUACGGGAGGCAGCAGUGGGGAAUAUUGCACAAUGGGCGCAAGCCUGAUGCAGCGACGCCGCGUGAGGGAUGACGGCCUUCGGGUUGUAAACCUCUUUCAGUAGGGAAGAAGCCUUUCGGGGUGACGGUACCUGCAGAAGAAGCGCCGGCUAACUACGUGCCAGCAGCCGCGGUAAUACGUAGGGCGCAAGCGUUGUCCGGAAUUAUUGGGCGUAAAGAGCUCGUAGGCGGUUUGUCGCGUCUGCUGUGAAAACGCGAGGCUCAACCUCGCGCCUGCAGUGGGUACGGGCAGACUAGAGUGCGGUAGGGGAGACUGGAAUUCCUGGUGUAGCGGUGGAAUGCGCAGAUAUCAGGAGGAACACCGGUGGCGAAGGCGGGUCUCUGGGCCGUUACUGACGCUGAGGAGCGAAGGCAUGGGGAGCGAACAGGAUUAGAUACCCCAGUAGUCC